rnacentral:rRNA from 1 species
CCUACGGGUGGCAGCAGUGAGGAAUAUUGGUCAAUGGACGAGAGUCUGAACCAGCCAAGUAGCGUGAAGGAUGACUGCCCUAUGGGUUGUAAACUUCUUUUAUAUGGGAAUAAAAUGUUACACGUGUGGGAUUUUGUAUGUACCAUAUGAAUAAGGAUCGGCUAACUCCGUGCCAGCAGCCGCGGUAAUACGGAGGAUCCGAGCGUUAUACGGAUUUAUUGGGGUUAAAGGGAGCGUAGGUGGAGUGUUAAGUCAGUUGUGAAAGUUUGCGGCUCAACCGUAAAAUUGCAGUUGAAACUGGCAGUCUUGAGUACAGGAGAGGUGGGCGGAAUUCGUGGUGUAGCGGUGAAAUGCUUAGAUAUCACGAAGAACUCCGAUUGCGAAGGCAGUUCACUGGACUGCAACUGACACUGAGGCGCGAAAGUGUGGGUAUCAAACAGGAUUAGAUACCCUAGUAGUC